rnacentral:rRNA from 1 species
AACCAGGAGGUUGGCUUAGAAGCAGCCAUCCUUUAAAGAAAGCGUAACAGCUCACUGGUCUAGUGAUUCUGCGCGGAAAAUAUAACGGGGCUAAGAUGUGCACCGAAGCUUUAGAUUCGAAUUUAUUCGAGUGGUAGGAGAGCGUUCUAUUCAGCGUUGAAGAUGUACCGGUAAGGAGCGUUGGAGCGGAUAGAAGUGAGCAUGCAGGCAUGAGUAGCGAUAAUUGAGGUGAGAAUCCUCAACGCCGAAAACCCAAGGUUUCCUACGCGAUGCUCGUCAUCGUAGGGUUAGUCGGGUCCUAAGUCGAGUCCGAAAGGGGUAGACGAUGGCAAAUUGAUUAAUAUUUCAAUACCAACAUACAAGCGCGAUGUGGGGACGCAUAGAGUUAAUCGAGCUCACUGAUGGAAUAGUGGGUCGAAGGACGUAGGCUGUAACUUAGGCAAAUCCGGGUUGCAAUAGGCCGAGAUCUUACAGGCUCUUGACACUCUUCGGAGGAGAUGGAGAAUCGAUGAUACUGUCGUGCCAAGAAAAGCCACUAAGUAUAUUGUAUGUUGCCCGUACCGUAAACCGACACAGGUGGGUGGGAUGAGUAUUCUAAGGCGCGUGGAAGAACCCUGGUUAAGGAACUCUGCAAACUAGCACCGUAUCUUCGGUAUAAGGUGUGCCUACUUUGGUAUAUGGACUUGCUCCAAAAAGCUAGAGAGGUUGCAACAAAGAGUCCCUCCCGACUGUUUACCAAAAACACAGCACUUUGCUAACACGUAAGUGGAUGUAUAAGGUGUGACGCCUGCCCGGUGCUCGAAGGUUAACUGAUGAUGUCAGCGCAAGCGAAGCAUUUGAUUGAAGCCCGAGUAAACGGCGGCCGUAACUAUAACGGUCCUAAGGUAGCGAAAUUCCUUGUCGGUUAAAUACCGACCUGCAUGAAUGGCGUAACGAGAUGGGAGCUGUCUCAACCAGGGAUCCAGUGAAAUUGUAGUGGAGGUGAAAAUUCCUCCUACCCGCGGAAAGACGGAAAGACCCCGUGCACCUUUACUACAGCUUGACACUGUAGCUUGGAUAUUCAUGUGCAGGAUAGGUGGGAGGCUAUGAUGACUAGACGCAAGUAGAGUCGGAGCCAUCCUUGAGAUACCACCCUUGAAUAUUUGAGUUACUAACUGCGUACAAUUAUCUUGUAUCAGGACAAUGUCUGGUGGGUAGUUUGACUGGGGCGGUCGCCUCCUAAAAAGUAACGGAGGCUUACAAAGGUUAGUUCAUGGCGGAUGGAAAUCGCCAGUUGAGUAUAAUGGCAUAAACUAGCUUGACUGUGAGACAUACAAGUCGAACAGAGACGAAAGUCGGUCAUAGUGAUCCGGUGGUUCUGUGUGGAAGGGCCAUCGCUCAAAGGAUAAAAGGUACGCCGGGGAUAACAGGCUGAUCUCCCCCAAGAGCUCACAUCGACGGGGAGGUUUGGCACCUCGAUGUCGGCUCAUCGCAUCCUGGGGCUGGAGUAGGUCCCAAGGGUAUGGCUGUUCGCCAUUUAAAGCGGUACGCGAGCUGGGUUCAGAACGUCGUGAGACAGUUCGGUCCCUAUCUUCCGUGGGCGUAGGAAAGUUGAAGAGAUUUGUCCCUAGUACGAGAGGACCGGGAUGAACGUACCACUGGUGUACCAAUUGUUCUGCCAAGAGCAUCGUUGGGUAGCUACGUACGGAUGUGAUAAGAGCUGAAAGCAUCUAAGCUCGAAGCCAACUCUAAGAUUAACUUUCCCUGAAGUUCCCAGUAAGACUAACUGGUUGAUAGGCUAGAUGUGUAAGCGUUGU